AUUGCCUAUCGAACAACCUAUGGUAGGUAGAUUCUGCCCGGUGACAACGUUAAACGGCCGCGGUACCCUGACCGUGCAAAGGUAGCAUAAUCAUUCGCCUCCUAAUUAGAGGCUAGUAUGAAAGAACUAACGUGAGCUCCCCUGUCUCUUCUAUGAACAUAUAACUUAACCUCUAGGUGAAAAGGCCUAGAUACUACUAAUAGACAAGAAGACCCUAUCGAGCUUUAUUGCUAAGUCUCUCUAUAAACUGUUCCAUCAACUUUAUACAGAACCUAAGCCAUUUUGUUGGGGCAACAAAGGAACACCAAAACCUUCCUCUCAAAACUAAAACAUACCAAGACCCAGCAACGCUGAUCAAAGAAAAAAGCUACCGUAGGGAUAACAGGUUAAUUUUUCUCGAGAGCCCACAUCAACAGAAAAGUUUGACACCUCGAUGUUGGCUUAGGCUAUCCAGUUAAUGCAGAAGUUAACAACGGUGGGUUUGUUCAACCCUUAAUAGCCUACG
rnacentral:rRNA from 1 species